UCUAGCUUGCUAGAAGAUGACGAGUGGCGGACGGGUGAGUAAUGCUUGGGAACUUGCCUUUGCGAGGGGGAUAACAGUUGGAAACGACUGCUAAUACCGCAUAAUGUCUUCGGACCAAACGGGGCUUAGGCUCCGGCGCAAAGAGAGGCCCAAGUGAGAUUAGCUAGUUGGUAAGGUAAAGGCUUACCAAGGCGACGAUCUCUAGCUGUUCUGAGAGGAAGAUCAGCCACACUGGGACUGAGACACGGCCCAGACUCCUACGGGAGGCAGCAGUGGGGAAUAUUGCACAAUGGGGGAAACCCUGAUGCAGCCAUGCCGCGUGUGUGAAGAAGGCCUUCGGGUUGUAAAGCACUUUCAGUUGUGAGGAAAAGUUAGUAGUUAAUACCUGCUAGCCGUGACGUUAACAACAGAAGAAGCACCGGCUAACUCCGUGCCAGCAGCCGCGGUAAUACGGAGGGUGCGAGCGUUAAUCGGAAUUACUGGGCGUAAAGCGCACGCAGGCGGUUUGUUAAGCUAGAUGUGAAAGCCCCGGGCUCAACCUGGGAUGGUCAUUUACAACUGGCAGACUAGAGUCUUGGAGAGGGGAGUGGAAUUCCAGGUGUAGCGGUGAAAUGCGUAGAUAUCUGGAGGAACAUCAGUGGCGAAGGCGACUCCCUGGCCGAAGACUGACGCUCAUGUGCGAAAGUGUGGGUAGCGAACAGGAUUAGAUACCCUGGUAGUCCACACCGUACACGCUGUCUACUAGCUGUUUGUGACUUUAAGUCGUGAGUAGCGAAGCUAACGCGCUAAGUAGACCGCCUGGGGAGUACGGCCGCAAGGUUAAAACUCAAAUGAAUUGACGGGGGCCCGCACAAGCGG
rnacentral:rRNA from 1 species